rnacentral:rRNA from 1 species
CAGUAGCCGCGGUAAUACGUAGGGUGCGAGCGUUAAUCGGAAUUACUGGGCGUAAAGCGAGCGCAGACGGUUAUUUAAGCAGGAUGUGAAAUCCCCGGGCUUAACCUGGGAACUGCGUUCUGAACUGGAUAGCUAGAGUGUGUCAGAGGGGGGUAGAAUUCCACGUGUAGCAGUGAAAUGCGUAGAGAUGUGGAGGAAUACCGAUGGCGAAGGCAGCCCCCUGGGAUAACACUGACGUUCAUGCUCGAAAGCGUGGGUAGCGAACAGGAUUAGAUACCCCAGUAGUCCCUGCCUCUUAUAC